AUUGAACGCUGGCGGCAUGCCUUACACAUGCAAGUCGAACGGCAGCACGGGGGCAACCCUGGUGGCGAGUGGCGAACGGGUGAGUAAUACAUCGGAACGUGCCCCGUAGCGGGGGACAACCAGUCGAAAGACUGGCUAAUACCGCAUACGCUCCACGGAGGAAAGCAGGGGAUCGCAAGACCUUGCACUAUGGGAGCGGCCGAUGCCCGAUUAGCUAGUUGGUGAGGUAAAGGCUCACCAAGGCAACGAUCGGUAGCUGGUCUGAGAGGACGACCAGCCACACUGGGACUGAGACACGGCCCAGACUCCUACGGGAGGCAGCAGGUGGGGAAUUUUGGACAAUGGGCGCAAGCCUGAUCCAGCCA
rnacentral:rRNA from 1 species